rnacentral:rRNA from 1 species
UACAGAGGUCCCGAGCGUUGUUCGGAUUCAUUGGGCGUAAAGGGUGCGUAGGCGGCGGGGAAAGUCUGAUGUGAAAUCCUGGGGCUCAACCCUGGAACUGCAUUGGAUACUUCCUUGCUAGAGUACUGGAGAGGAAACUGGAAUUUACGGUGUAGCAGUGAAAUGCGUAGAGAUCGUAAGGAAGACCAGUGGCGAAGGCGGCAUCCUGGACCGGUAUUGACGCUGAGGCGCGAAAGCCAGGGGAGCAAACGGG